GUUGUAGGCAAACAUUUCUAUCAGUCCUAAUUUAAAUAAUAACAGCUACGGUAUAAAAAUCCUGGGAUGAAGAAACAUAACAGCUCAAAAAGUGGUUGAAAAGAAUCAGUUUCUAUCAUUUUUUACGCCUUGAUUCUGGAAGAUAAGUUAAAAAGAAAUUGUCCUCUCGUUCAUACCGUUACAUUUCAAUCAGUUCAUUUUGUUCCAGUAUGUGUCGUGUUUUAAUUAGUAAGUUAUCGUGAAUAGGGGACAUGCGUUAAGAAUUAGAGACUCAGUCGUGGAUUGACUUGGAGGAACUGUCAUUGAUGUCUCCGAUUAGAGUUAAGCCUAAACAGAUUUCAUUUUUUAAGUAAACCCUGCUAACAGGUCAGGUGGGCACCAGUGAAGCAGCAUGGAUGAGGAGA